rnacentral:rRNA from 1 species
AUUGAACGCUGGCGGCAGGCUUAACACAUGCAAGUCGAGCGGGGUGAUGGUGCUUGCACUAUCACUUAGCGGCGGACGGGUGAGUAAUGCUUAGGAAUCUGCCUAUUAGUGGGGGACAACAUUACGAAAGGAAUGCUAAUACCGCAUACGUCCUACGGGAGAAAGCAGGGGAUCUUCGGACCUUGCGCUAAUAGAUGAGCCUAAGUCGGAUUAGCUAGUUGGUGGGGUAAAGGCCUACCAAGGCGACGAUCUGUAGCGGGUCUGAGAGGAUGAGCCGCCACACUGGGACUGAGACACGGCCCAGACUCCUACGGGAGGCAGCAGUGGGGAAUAUUGGACAAUGGGCGGAAGCCUGAUCCAGCCAUGCCGCGUGUGUGAAGAAGGCCUUAUGGUUGUAAAGCACUUUAAGCGAGGAGGAGGCUACUUUAGUUAAUACCUAGAGAUAGUGGACGUUACUCGCAGAAUAAGCACCGGCUAACUCUGUGCCAGCCGCCGCCAUAAAAC